UUACUACCAAACCUCGUAGGUCAACCAGAGUAAGAUCCGCACCAGAGUGGUACGGUAAUCCUAUUCUGGAGGUCAUGUUACUUGACCAUGACGAACCUACGAACUAUGAGGAAGCGAUGAUGAGCCCAGAUUCUGCAAAAUGGUUAGAGGCCAUGAAAUCUGAGAUAGGAUCCAUGUAUGAGAACAAAGUGUGGACUUUGCUUGACUUGCCUGAUGAUCGGCAAGCCAUCGAGAAUAAAUGGAUCUUCAAUAAGAAGACAGACACUGACGGUAAUGUUACUGUCUACAAAGCUCGACUUGUUGCGAAAGGUUUUCGACAAGUUCAAGGAGUUGACUACGAUGAGACUUUCUCACCCUUAGCGAUGCUUAAGUGUGGCACCCCGACUCAGAGAAAACAGGAACGCCCCGUAUUCCAGCCCAGAGAUCGAGGCGAAGUCUUCUAGAAUACGGCACUGCUUAGCAUAGAACAAACUAGCUUUCUAUUAAUACACGAAUAUGAAUACAAGUUCUCUGAUAUUACAAUGAAUAACAUCGGCACGACAACACUACGCCAUCCUCAGUUGCUCUAUGCAAGCAGCAUAACGAGUUGAGGCAGCGGAACCACUACUGGCAGCGGAACAACGAACGACGAUGAUGAACUCCAAUCCGCAGGGACUCUGGCUAGAACGCUUAUCCUAGCUCGCGAACACAAGAACAACACCAAACAAGAAAGCAAUCCAGGCACGACCUGCAAGCUGGCAUGACACGCCAGGUCAGUACAUUGAAUGUACUUGCAAGCUCACAAUAACCAGAAGCAUUCAAGACAAACAUCAGCAUGGCAUUUACAGGUUAAGCAGGAAUUAACAUGAGAUCCUCAUAACAACAUGACAUGAGCAACAUGAACAUGAUACAGCUAGAACAACCUGAGCAUGGCAUGAACAUAUGAAUCUGACGAUACUAGCAUGCAACAUGAUGACACUAUAUGCACUACUUAUUCUGCUCGGGUUACUACGUAACCAUCACAUGCAUGACCUACCAACCUCGGACAUCACACGAUUAUCUCAGGAUCAAAUCAAGCUUGGUAUAAACAAUACCGUAGUAAUCAUUAAAUGACCACAAGGAGCUUGAUCUUUACCCACGAUUCUCGCACAAUAUCACGAAUAUCCAACAACUCGGUAUCCUCGAUACCACGGUGAUCAUUCCGGCGAUCACAACCAUGACCAACACUUGGUCUCAAACGGUGAUCAUUCCGGCGAUCACAACCAACUUAUCUCCUCAUCGAACCGGGGUUGUUAUAAAUCAAGUUAUUAUUAAUACUGUUGACUCACGGUGUGACCGACACGAACUGGGCCCUUAUCUGCGGGCGCGGCUAUUGAUAGAUUUAAUAUACACUCUGCAGAGGUUAGUACACUGUACCCAUACUACGGAACCCAUGGCCUCGCACUCCCAUUCGGGUGGACCAACGGCGUUCCGACAAAACCGGUCUACUGCCAUGACACUCUCCCAGCCACUCCAACCCACUCCCAACUAGGCUAGUCCUGGGUGGCACCGUGUCUACCAAAGACACAACGACCACCGUCGUGGCCAAAACGUCCCUCACGGGGACCAGAUCCAUAAUAACAACAACGGGCACACAAGGUUAUGUCCGCCUACCUGAUUAGGGUAGCGCGCACCCAUAACCUUCCCUCGUUAGAGGCACUGGCGAGAGGCACGACAAUAGACCCAGUUAGGACCUUCCCAUAAAGGUAAGCGUGGUUGCACUGGUCAGUUUCGAUAUGGUGGCACCAUGACUCAGCCAACAGUUGUUCAAGUUCAAUUUAAUCCGGUUAAACUUGAAUGCAAAUAUGCUGAGCCAUGAUAAAAUAACAUGAUGCAAGGACAAUGCAUGAGCAUGAUAUCAACAUAAGCAUGAGGGUACAACAUAACUAUCCACCAUAUCAACAAUGAAUCAUAUCCAGCUGAACAUGGCAUAAUGAUGAGCAUGAAUAUUACAAGUACAACACUACUCAUAGCAUAAUAUGACCAUUAUCAUCAACCAUAAAUAACAUGCAAGAACUCAUCAAUAACAUUACCGAGUAAACACUUAACCAACUAGUAGUAAAGGAACAACGCAUAUUAACAGUACUCGGUAACCGAUGUUAGUCAUGCACCGAAGAACAUGACCAACCCAACACGUACUACUAUCAAGCAUGGCAAUAUGAAAGUAAUACCAGCAACUAGCAGGGCAUGAUAACCAGGUGCAUAACAACAUAGUAAGCAAGUAAGCACUAACCCAGAAACAUUACCGAAACUACGAUAACCAUAUUUUAAACAAGCAAUCAUUUAGUAAAUAAUCAAGUUGAAAACCAUGGCUACAGCAUGAAUAUCAUGCAAGUGGGUAUUGUGGCUUGCCUGGGGAUGAAGAAUACUCCGGGAAGAAGUGUGGUGAAGCCGCGAAAAGAUUUGCCGGAAACAGUUCUCUCUCGCAGGGGCUGUUUACGUGCAAAGGGAAAAAAGGUCAUUUUCACAGUGUCAAACCAUAGUGAAAAUGAAACCAACAGAACGGGAUCGACAAAACGAAGAAGUGAGCUUUGGAUUCACCUCAAUCGGAGUCUCGAGCAAAAAGAUAUAAGCGUUUGAAAUCCAGGGACCAAUAUGUAAAAAGACCCUCUACAAACAGGCCCCUGAGCUGAAAAACAGAAAACGUAUUUCAAAGAAUACGCAUUCAGAACUGGAAAACGUAUUCUUCGCCGCAAGAGAGUGAAAUGCGCUUUCCUGACGAGAAAACGUAUUGCUGGUUGAAGCAAAGCAGGAAUACGUUUUCAGACAAAGGAAGACGUAUCCAGGGUAAUACUCUUCCACUUACCCAGUCAGCAGAGGCGGGACCAGCCACGCGGUUGCUGACGGGCGGAUCCCACUGGGUGGGGCCCGUCACUUAUCCAGCUAGGCAGGCGGGGUCAACGCCUACCCACCGACAGGUGGGGCCGCGUGGAGAUGGGGUCCGCCUGGCUCCUGUCUUCUUCCUCCUCGCUACACCCCGAUGGGAAACAGAGGAGGCAGGGGCGGGGUCGCGAUGCCGGCGGUGGCCCGGCCGGCUCAGGCCGCCUCCGGCCAAGCCGAGGCCACCGGCGAGACCG
rnacentral:lncRNA from 1 species